rnacentral:tRNA from 1 species
GGGGAUUUAGCUCAGUGGUAGGGCGCUUGCCUAGCAAGCACAAGGCCCUGGGUUCAGUCCCCAGCUCCU